CUCGGGGCUCUGGAAGGUGAGCAGGAAGCGCCGCACGUGGUCCUUCCGCAGCUGAUCGAUGCUGCGCGCGUCGAUGGCGCGGCCCAGGAACUCAUCCACCUCAUCCUCGGGGUUGAGCGGCUCCUGGGCACCGCGGUUGUCCUUGGUGGAGUCAUCGAUGCCCAUCUGCCGGAACGCUUUGCAGUCUUUGGGGCGGCUGAAGGAGCGCUCGGGGACCCAACGUGGAACCAAAGCCUCCGCUGAGCCCGCGUGGCUGCGCUGCAGCUUCGCCAG
rnacentral:lncRNA from 1 species